rnacentral:rRNA from 1 species
UACGUAGGGUGCAAGCGUUAUCCGGAAUCACUGGGCGUAAAGCGUGCGUAGGCGGGAAUUUAAGUGAGUUGUUAAAUCGUGUGGCUCAACCAUAUCGAUGCAAUUCAUACUGGGUUCCUAGAGGAAGGCAGAGGCAAGUGGAAUUUGUAGUGUAGCAGUGAAAUGCGUAGAUAUUACAAGGAACACCAAUGGCGAAGGCAGCUUGCUGGGCCUUUUCUGACGCUGAGGUACGAAAGCGUGGGGAGCGAACAGG